AUUGAACGCUGGCGGCAUGCCUUACACAUGCAAGUCGAACGGUAACGGGCCUUCGGGUGCCGACGAGUGGCGAACGGGUGAGUAAUACAUCGGAACGUGCCCGAUCGUGGGGGAUAACGAGGCGAAAGCUUUGCUAAUACCGCAUACGAUCUACGGAUGAAAGCCGGGGACCGCAAGGCCUUGCGCGGACGUAGUGGCCGAUGGCAGAUUAGGUAGUUGGUGGGAUAAAAGCUUACCAAGCCGACGAUCUGUAGCUGGUCUGAGAGGAUGAUCAGCCACACUGGGACUGAGACACGGCCCAGACUCCUACGGGAGGCAGCAGUGGGGAAUUUUGGACAAUGGGCGCAAGCCUGAUCCAGCCAUGCCGCGUGCAGGAUGAAGGCCUUCGGGUUGUAAACUGCUUUUGUACGGAACGAAAAGCCUUCUUUUAAUACAGGAGGGUCAUGACGGUACCAUAAGAAUAAGCACCGGCUAACUACGUG
rnacentral:rRNA from 1 species